UGCUAUUGGCUCUGGAGAGUGGAGGAGAGAAGCUGUGAAGGGCUGGGAGGUGAUUUUUUUCAGGGGUGUCCCUGCCUGGCCGUGAGGGGCGGGGGGUUCCUUAUGUCUUGUCCCAAAGUCUAGAAAUGAGUAACCCCUGUGAAAGCCUCGCAGACACAUGAUCUCAGCACGCCACAGAGGCCAGUGGCAGGAAACCGACCCACCAUAUAUCUCCGAGUCACUUUACUGAGAGUUUGGGGCCUGAGGAAUGUGACAACAGUGCAAUAGAUGGAGCUGCACUCCUUGGCCGUUAUGGGAACACUGGGCACUGCUAGCUAAGCCACCUUGUUGACAGCUCCUUCCCAUGGCUCGCCACCAUCACCUCGCUUUGUACCCUGAAACGGACAGGAAGAACACAUCAUCCACAAAGACGCAGGAAGAGGAAAGGCAGCUUCAAACUGAUGUGCGGAUAGCACAGACAUUUCCAUGAAGAAAGGAUCCAAAAACAGAUACCUGGCAGGAUGGAGCAACCAAGGACACGCGGUGAAAAGCUGCAGUGUUAGAGGAGUGACACAAACCUGUUGAGCGACUCUUCCUCCCUCCUGCUCGGCUGCUGGGAGGAGGACACUUGUUUCUCGCACGGAGGGAUUUUGAUCUUUUUGCAUUGGUAUCCACUUCCUCCAUCUACAAAGGCCAUGAAAGGGAAUGAGUAAUUCCUCUAUCUGUGUGUACGUGAGUGUGUGACUGUGCGUGUGUGGAUGCUUGACCUAUUUCUGCUGCACUGACAUGAGGCUGGCAUUUCUGCCUCACAAGUACAAAUGCAGACAUGGGCGCAAGGUGGUUGUUGAAAGAGCUAAUGUUUUAGCUCAUGUGAAAGCAUAAAAUAUGUGCGGAAGAGCAUACAUUUUU